rnacentral:rRNA from 1 species
UACGUAGGGACCGAGCGUUGUCCGGAUUCAUUGGGCGUAAAGAGCGUGUAGGCGGCCAGGUAGGUCGGUUGUGAAAACUGGAGGCUCAACCUUCAGACGUCGACCGAAACCAUCUGGCUAGAGUCCGGGAGAGGAGAGUGGAAUUCCUGGUGUAGCGGUGAAAUGCGCAGAUAUCAGGAAGAACACCCGUGGCGAAAGGCGGCUCUCUGGG